CCGAAGAUAAAAGCUGCUCAAAAUGACUACAGUGCUUCUGACUUUCUUAGUCUGCCCUUCCUCCUAGGGCUCUUUGGAUGAGAUUUAUUUCUCCUUGUUGAAGAAAUUGUUUGCUAGAAUAUAAAAAAUUUAAGGAAGAAUGAAAUACUAAAAUAUAAUUUUCUCCUAAAGAGCACUCAAAAGUAUAAUCCCACCAGUGCUGGAUCUAUUUAUCUCUCUCUCUCUCUCUCUUUUUUUUUUUCUGAGAUAGGCUCUCACUCUGUUACCAAGACUGGAGCACAGUGGUGAGAUCACAGCUCACUGCAGCUUUCAACUCCUGGGCUCAAGUGAUCCUCCCACUUCAGCCUCCCAAGCAGCUGGGAUUACAGGUGCAUGCCACCAUGCCUAAUUUUUAAAAUUUUUUGUAGAGAAGGCCACUAUGUGGCCUAGGCUGGUCUUGAACUCCUAGAUCAAACUAAUCCUCCUGCCUUGGCCCCCAAAGUGCUGGAAUUAUAGGCUUUAGCCACCACACCCCAUCUAUUUAUGUUUGUAUGCACACACACACACACACACACACACCACACAAACACACAUAUAUACACAUAUGUACACAUAUAAAAUCUCAUAUAUUAAAUGUUCCUCCUUAAAUCGCCUCCUACCCACCCAUCUGCAGGGAGAGCAAACACAGGUCUCAGCAGAUCAGGGAAGCUACAUGAAGAAAGGAGGCUGGAGCAAUGCCAGAGACCAGGCUAAAGGAGGUUUUCUCUUUAGGAGUCCUCUCUCACUUCACCCUGCUUAACACAAGACUUCACACACAAAGAGAAUGGAGACAGCCCUGCUUCAGGACAUGCUACAGAGACAGAACUGACUGUCCCAAAAACAGAGGGCUCCACACCCCUCUGACAACUCCACAAUGGACCAGCUACACACAAAUGCCUGAAGUAAGGAAGUCCAUUAAGAAAAUGAACAGUUGGUGAGAUCAAGACUUCUGACCCAAAGGGCCUGCAGCUGGUCUGAUGAUUCAUCAAAAAGUCUGAAUUUAAAUGGAGACAUAUUGGACUGUGACAUGUAAUAAAAGAACUGAAGCAGCAAAGUGUCUUGGUUUGGGUUUUCUUUCCACUGUAUACAGCUCCAAUGAAUAGAGAAGUGAGCACGCCUGUGGUACUCCUGACACAUCUGGGAUAGUUCCCAUCCACAGUGGUUGGCCUUUGGGAUUAUGCACACAUUGCAGGGUCAUUGCCCAUCUGUGCUAACCUAGAAUGUCACAUAAAAGCCCUGCU
rnacentral:lncRNA from 1 species